rnacentral:rRNA from 1 species
UAAUAAAUUUAUAAAAUUUUUUAUCAAAAAAACUUUUUUUAUAAUAUUCUAAUUACAUUUCACUUCAAACUGAAAAGGUAUAAACUAUUUUUCAAAAGAAAAAUAAUGUUCCUUUAGUAUCAGGAUUUAUCAAAUUUUUUAAAUCAUUUUUUUUUCUCCCGAAAUUAUAUGAUCUAUUAAUUUUUAUAAUAUUUAUUUCAAAAAAUUAUUAAAAUUAUUAAUAGAAAUUAAACAUCUUCGUAUAUAUUAUAUCUGGUUUAAAAAAAAGAAAAUAACUUCAAUUAAUAUUUAAUAAAAUAAUUUAUUAAAUUUAUUUAAAUUAUUUUUUAAUAAAAUAAAAACUUAUAGUAUUUUAAAAGUUUAAUAACUAAUGUAUUUAAAUUAUAUUAAAUUUUAAUAUUUUUAAAACUUUUAUAUAAAAUUAUUAUGAUAAAAUAAGUAAACUAAUAAUAUUUUUAUCAAAAACUCAUCCAAAAUUGAGUGACUGUUUAUCAAAAACAUUUUUAUUAGAAUUAAUUAAUAAUAAAACCUGCUCCAUGAAAUUUAAAUAGCCGCUUUUGUGCUAAGGUAGCAUAAUAAUUUGUCUUUUAAUUAAAGACUAGAACAAAAGGUCUAACAUCUCAAUUAAUAUUUUCAAAAAAUCUAUUUAAAUUAUUUUAAUUGUAAAAAAACAAUUUUAAAAAAGAAAGACGAUAAGACCCUAUCGAACUUUACUUUAGUUUAACUGGGGCAGUUAAUUAAUUAUUAUUUUAAUAAAAUUAAAUAUUUAAUUUGACCUAAUAUUAUUAAUAAAAUAAUCAAGUUACCGUAGGGAUAACAGCGUAAUAUGAUUUUUAAGAUCUUAUUUAAAAUAAAGAUUGCGACCUCGAUGUUGAUUUAAUAACCUAAUUUACGCAAUAGUUAAUUAAGGAAGUCUGUUCGACUUUAAAAAAAUUACAUGAUUUGAGUUCAGACCGGUGUAAACCAGGUCGGUUUCUAUCUUCUAAAAAAAUUCUUCUAGUACGAAAGGACCUAAGAAAAUAAUAUUAU